rnacentral:rRNA from 1 species
UCUCGGGGAGUGUUAUAGCCCGUUGCGAAAUGCGGCCAGCUUGGACUGAGGUCCGCGCUUCGGCCAGGAUGCUGGCGUAAUGGUUGUAAGCGGCCCGUCUUGAAACACGGACCAAGGAGUCUAACAUCUGUGCGAGUGUUUGGGUGUCAAACCCGUACGCGUAAUGAAAGUGAACGGAGGCGGGAACCUCUCGGGGUGCACCGUCGACCGAUCCUGAUGUCUUCGGAUGGAUUUGAGUAAGAGCAUAGCUGUUGGGACCCGAAAGAUGGUGAACUAUGCCUGAAUAGGGUGAAGCCAGAGGAAACUCUGGUGGAGGCUCGCAGCGGUUCUGACGUGCAAAUCGAUCGUCAAAUUUGGGCAUAGGGGCGAAAGACUAAUCGAACUAUCUAGUAGCUGGUUCCUGCCGAAGUUUCCCUCAGGAUAGCAGUAACGUUUUCAGUUUUAUGAGGUAAAGCGAAUGAUUAGAGGCCUGGGGGUUGAAACAACCUUCACCUAUUCUCAAACUUUAAAUAUGUAAGAAGUCCUUGUUGCUUAGUUGAACGUGGACAUUUGAAUGUAUCGUUACUAGUGGGCCAUUUUUGGUAAGCAGAACUGGCGAUGCGGGAUGAACCGAACGCGGAGUUAAGGUGCCGGAAUGCACGCUUAUCAGACACCACAAAAGGUGUUGGUUCAUCUAG